rnacentral:rRNA from 1 species
UGGGGAAUUUUGGACAAUGGGCGAAAGCCUGAUCCAGCAAUGCCGCGUGUGUGAAGAAGGCCUUCGGGUUGUAAAGCACUUUUGUCCGGAAAGAAAUCCUUGGCUCUAAUACAGUCGGGGGAUGACGGUACCGGAAGAAUAAGCACCGGCUAACUACGUGCCAGCAGCCGCGGUAAUACGUAGGGUGCAAGCGUUAAUCGGAAUUACUGGGCGUAAAGCGUGCGCAGGCGGUUUGCUAAGACCGAUGUGAAAUCCCCGGGCUCAACCUGGGAACUGCAUUGGUGACUGGCAGGCUAGAGUAUGGCAGAGGGGGGUAGAAUUCCACGUGUAGCAGUGAAAUGCGUAGAGAUGUGGAGGAAUACCGAUGGCGAAGGCAGCCCCCUGGGCCAAUACUGACGCUCAUGCACGAAAGCGUGGGGAGCAAACAGGAUUAGAUACCCUGGUAGUCCACGCCCUAAACGAUGUCAACUAGUUGUUGGGGAUUCAUUUCCUUAGUAACGUAGCUAACGCGUGAAGUUGACCGCCUGGGGAGUACGAUCGCAAGAUUAAAACUCAAAUGAAUUGACGGGGUCAUAGCUGUUUCCU